rnacentral:rRNA from 1 species
GCUGGAAUCGCUAGUAAUCGCGAAUCAGAAUGUCGCGGUGAAUACGUUCCCGGGUCUUGUACACACCGCCCGUCACACCAUGGGAGUCGGAAAUGCCCGAAGUCAGUGACCCAACCACAACGUGAACUUCGUUCGCGUGGAGGGAGCUGCCGAAGGUGGAGCCGGUAACUGGGGUGAAGUCGUAACAAGGUACC